GAUGAACGCUGGCGACGUGCCUAAUACAUGCAAGUCGAGCGAACAGACGAGGAGCUUGCUCCUCUGACGUUAGCGGCGGACGGGUGAGUAACACGUGGAUAACCUACCUAUAAGACUGGGAUAACUUCGGGAAACCGGAGCUAAUACCGGAUAACAUGUUGAACCGCAUGGUUCAACAGUGAAAGACGGUCUUGCUGUCACUUAUAGAUGGAUCCGCGCCGCAUUAGCUAGUUGGUAAGGUAACGGCUUACCAAGGCAACGAUGCGUAGCCGACCUGAGAGGGUGAUCGGCCACACUGGAACUGAGACACGGUCCAGACUCCUACGGGAGGCAGCAGUAGGGAAUCUUCCGCAAUGGGCGAAAUCCUGACGGAGCAACGCCGCGUGAGUGAAGAAGGUCUUCGGAUCGUAAAACUCUGUUAUUAGGGAAGAACAAAUGUGUAAGUAACUAUGCACGUCUUGACGGUACCUAAUCAGAAAGCCACGGCUAACUACGU
rnacentral:rRNA from 1 species